UCAACCACCCAUGCAAGAUUGCCAAAGGCAUUAGAAAUUUAGAGGCCUUCUUCAAAGCAAUACCUACCGCCGCUCUGCCCCAUCUCUCUGUUUUCUCUUUUUCGUAAAAGAGAGAUAAGGGAGGCUGAGUCUAAUGGGAUCACGAGAGGCAAGGUCGACAUUAGAGGCCACCAACGAUCUUACGUUGGGAGCAGUUGUUAGCUGCGAAGGUUCGACGCCAAUUUGCUCCCAUCUUUCUCUCUUCGUUGGCCUUCGCGGACCUUACGCUAGGGGUGGUGGCUGGUGGAAAAAGUGGAAGCCCAGUUCUUGAGGCCUGCCGAUGGAGCUACGAUGGUUCUUUGGGUUUCUGAUCGUUUCUGGCGUAGUAUGGGGAAGUCGCAAGAAUAGACGAGGAAUCAAGAACGGAAAGGGAUUCAUUUGGUGCCUCCAAACAGUGGCCGGAUCAAGUUGAAUGCGGAUGGUUCGUUGAUGGUUAAGCUGGGGUUUGGUUGGUGCUGGUGGGCUUACUUAGGGACGAAUGGGGUUGGUUAGUGUGGUUAAAUUAUCUCUCAAAUCUAAACCCUUCCCGAGUCCAUUAUGGAAUUUAAAGAAAAUUCUCAA